CUUUUCCUAUUUAGGAUGCUGCUGAGGGCUCCUAUCAAUAUUAUCUACAUUUGUAGUUUGUGGGAGGACUCCUAGAGUACUGUAGCUAGGGCCAUUUGAUGGUCAUUUGAUUGCAGCUGUUUCAAGAUUCAGAUUCCUACCAAUCUUUUUGGAUAAACCAGAUGGUUCAGCUGUUCCCACUUCCAUUUUGGUUGGUAUACAGAAUUGUUUGAGUGUUUGAAUAUCAAGAAAAAAUAGUUUGAGGCUGUCAGCUGGACUGAAAGGAGAACCAUGGGACCUUGACCCAGAUAUUUUUCCAGUCUGGUGCCUGGUCCAGUUUUAAUAAAACAAUGGCUACAAUCCAACUAACAUUAAUGGCUUCUGCAACAAUUUGUGGCCCUGCUCCUAUAAGAUGCUGCCUCUAUUUGUCUUUUUUAUUCAAUAGCAAUUGAAAAAAAUAAAGUAAAAUUCAAGAAAGAUGCUGAAGUGAAAUGCAUGGAUUGCUAUGGCCAUUCAACA